UGGGGAAUAUUGCACAAUGGGCGCAAGCCUGAUGCAGCCAUGCCGCGUGUGUGAAGAAGGCCUUCGGUUGUAAAGCACUUUCAGCGAGGAGGAAGGUGGUGAGCUUAAUACGCUCAUCAAUUGACGUUACUCGCAGAAGAAGCACCGGCUAACUCCGUGCCAGCAGCCGCGGUAAUACGGAGGGUGCAAGCGUUAAUCGGAAUUACUGGGCGUAAAGCGCACGCAGGCGGUUUGUUAAGUCAGAUGUGAAAUCCCCGGGCUCAACCUGGGAACUGCAUUUGAAACUGGCAAGCUAGAGUCUCGUAGAGGGGGGUAGAAUUCCAGGUGUAGCGGUGAAAUGCGUAGAGAUCUGGAGGAAUACCGGUGGCGAAGGCGGCCCCCUGGACGAAGACUGACGCUCAGGUGCGAAAGCGUGGGGCAGCAAACAGGAUUAGAUACCCUGGUAGUCCACGCUGUAAACGAUGUCGAUUUUGGAGGUUGUGCCCUUGAGGCGUGGCUUCCGGAGCUAACGCGUUAAAUCGACCGCCUGGGGAGUACGGCCGCAAGGUUAAAACUUAAAGGAAUUGACGGGGUCUAGCUG
rnacentral:rRNA from 1 species